UCGCCGGGGUGUUCGGCGCGGCACUCGCGGCGCUGCCGUCGCUGCGGACGUCGCUGGUGGCGUUCGACACCUCGGUGGUGGACC
rnacentral:tRNA from 1 species